AGAAGAAGCAAUGAUAAGGCAGUAUAGUGCAACUCACUAUGUGAUAUUAGAAGAGAAACAAGAAUGCGGUUAGAUCUUCCAUGGCAAUUGAAUGAUGACAUUCAGACACAGGGGAAAGGCUUGUUUUGUCUUUUACAUCGUGGAUAUUCAGCUGGAACAUUUUGCUCGACUGCAUAUUUGAAAGAAGUUCCUUUGGGAGCCAUGAUGAAGCAAAACCAUUUAGCUAUUACAACCGGAGAUUAAAAAAAAUUAUAGAUUCAGUAUUUAAAACACUUUAAAAGUAUAUGUUUGUCUAAAAUAUAAUAGAAAAUUCUUUACAUUUGUAUUUUUUCUUAAUUUUUUUUUUGGUUCUUAGACUAUAUAAUCAAGUCAAGAUUUACACUGUACAUUAAAAAUCUUCUUUUGAAUGUAUUUGCAUAAAUGGAAAGAGAGCUGUUCAAGAAUACUGAUAAAAAAGUUAGUUACCAAGAUAAGAACUAAUUCAGAAAUGACCCUCAGAAUUUUGCUUUUCCUUCCAAAAGGGCCUUGCUCCUGACAGUGCCUCUCACUUCACUUGUUUAGCUCUCCUUCCCACUCUGAGAAGAGUCACCCUACUAAAACCCAUGACUCCUCUCACAACCAAGAAACAGCAGCUGAGGACAAGAACCUCAUUUCAGAAUGAAGCGUGUUCUGGGCUGGAGUGUCUGCUAAGAAUAGCAUGAAUUAUCUUUUGCUAUUAAAGAUGCAGUUUGAAAAUUUUGAACGUUCAUCGCCAAUUCCAAGCCUGGUCUGCUCCCUGGGGCAGACGAAGGAGGUAUCACCACUGCCAGCCUUGAGAGCAAAACCAGGUCCCAGGAUAUUGAAAGGCAGCGUAAUUAACUGGCAUCAUCUCCCUCUGAUUUCCCCAUCAAUCACUGCUACUACUCUGGGAUGCAAAUCCGUUGUGCUGAGGGGCAGGCACAUAGUCCAAACAAAAACCUUAAUUGUGGCAUAAAGCCCCUUUACAGACCCUCUUUGCAGGACUGAAUUUUAUCCAGUGAGUGCAGUGGAAUUUGCCAUUCUUGCAGCACUUCUCAGUGGCUGCACACUUUAUAAAAAAUUUUUUAGCGUCAUUAUGAGACAAUUCCUUACCCACUGUAAACUGGCAUAAGUGCCAUUACGGUCAGUGAAGCCCCACUGAUGUCUGCCAGCUCAGAGCCAGUCCAUGUACAUCCAAGGGCAUGCCUGCAGAGACCAGGACUUUCCCUGGUAAUUAAAAGUGGCGUUUUUCCAACUGGUCAGAAUGGUUACACUGAUUUAUUUUUCAUUUAUAGCCUGUGAAAUCUGAGGCUGUUAGCUUUCGGUGCUAGAACAAUGUAAGCAGGUUAGGGAACAGAACUUUUCUGAAUUAUAUACUACAUGGAUUUGCUAUGUUAACGACUGGCAGUGCUAAAGAAUUGCUGUAAUUCUCAGGUGUUACUUGCUAUGCCUGCACUGUGCCACAGCCAUUUACCUCAGCAGCUUACACGACUCCUAGCAUCAACACAGCUGGCUUUCAAUCUUGCUUCACCUGCAACUGCACUGCUUUCGCCUUUCCCUGUUUAUUAAAAGCACUAAAUCAGGAGCAUUUCUAUUUUUCAAAACAGAAAAGCUCGGUGCGGCCCAGCUGUGGGUGAAGAGCUAGUGAAAGCAGCAGCCGUGCUGGCAGUUUUUAGUGACAUCACCCAGACCUUCCUCUUCUGUCUGCAGCGUGUGGCAGCGGCUCGGUUCCUCUCCAGAAAUUUCCUCCUCCUCUCAUCGGGGUCUUCAUCCACCACCCUUCUCCGACGGCCUCCAGUGGGCUGCGGCGGCUGUAUCGUCUGCGUGGGCUGCAUCUGCUGUGCGGCCGGCGAAACCUGUCAAGGAGAGGAUUGACAUGGCAGUGGGGUGGGGGAAAGGAAGAGGGAGGGAGGCUGAGGCAUGGGGAGCAUCUCCCACAGUUGCCCGGUUGGAUAGCGGGCCAGGAGAGGCACGCGUUGAAAGACACUGCCAGAUGCCACUAGUGUUAGCUGUUGGCAAAGGGUUGCAUUGGUUGAAGGGGAGAUUUUUUGAAAUGAUUCUCUGAAUAUUAGUAGGAAAAAUAUUUUUCCCUUACACCUAGUCAUUAAAAACUUUUCACUUAGGUAUUUUCUCUGCCACCAUCUAUUUCAAAGCUGAAAUGUCAAGUUUCUCUCAGCAACCCUUUUAAAUCAAAGCAGAAGACUGUAGGGGCCUUAUUUCUGUCUCUCUUUUUUCUUGUUUUUUGGUAAUUGAUUCUGAAAUUUUGGGACAUUCCUUUUACACAUGCUCUUCCACCUCUGCUUGGUACCUCAUAGACUCUGGAGAUGGGAGAUACAAGUGCUCUGCCCGUCUGAGCACACCUGGGAAGCUAUGCGCAAGGGUGGUGGAGCCAGGAGACCUCAGUGCCCAUGAGAUGGAGUUGGAAUAAAGGAAUUAGGUAUCAGCACACACGUGGGUCUUGAAGGGAGGCUGGUAUCUCAUGGAGGUACUGCUGUAUCCUCCUUCUCAGGCAUUUCUAUGUGCCCUCUUUUUGAUCACAGAAUCAUAGAAUCACCAAGGUUGGAAAAGUCCUCUAAGAUCAUCCAGUCCAACCGUCCACCUAUCACCAAUAUUUCUGACUAUAUUAAAUGUUUCUUGAACACAUGCUACACUUCUUUUUAUUAUUAUUUAUUUGACAACAGUCAUGAAAACCACUCCCAAACCCUCUGCUAUGAAAACAUGGAAAACCACAUAUUUAUACCUAUUCAAGUGAAGGAGAGUAUCAAUCUUGCUUCUGAAAGUAACUUGCCUAUUCCCUUACAGAGGAAGCUUGUGAUGGAGCUGGCCCCCACCAGGCUGUGCUCUGACUUUUCUGGAUGAAAUACUCGCCUAUGUUCUGGUGAGGAAUGAGUAUCAGACUUCAUGUUCUGUGUUUCUAAAAUCAAUAGGUGCUGCUUGGGAAUAACCAGCUCUCAGACUGCUUUCCUGCUUCACCAUGGUGCCCAGGCCCUUCUGCUUUGGGUUUUGCUUGGGGUUCGGAUCCGAUUGCUGAAGCACAGCCGCAACUCCUGCUACUUUUGCACCAGUGGAGUCUGGAAUUGUCCAGAAACCUGAAUUGUUGACUCAAACUUAACCUUGCUGUUCUGGCAAAGGCCCAAACCUCCAAGGUACUUCCUUUUGACUUCAGGGAGUGGACGUACUCAGUGCUUUGUCAGAUGGAGUCCUGAAUUUCAACUGCAGCAAUUAACAUUUGUUUGCUUAACACGUAUGUCUGUCUCAAUUAAAAUGAUACUAUCAUCUUG